CGGACGGGUGAGUAACGCGUGAGAAUCUGGCUUCAGGUCUGGGACAACCACUGGAAACGGUGGCUAAUACCGGAUGUGCCGAGAGGUGAAAGGUUAACUGCCUGAAGAUGAGCUCGCGUCUGAUUAGCUAGUUGGUAGAGUAAAAGCCUACCAAGGCGACGAUCAGUAGCUGGUCUGAGAGGACGAUCAGCCACACUGGGACUGAGACACGGCCCAGACUCCUACGGGAGGCAGCAGUGGGGAAUUUUCCGCAAUGGGCGAAAGCCUGACGGAGCAAUACCGCGUGAGGGAGGAAGGCUCUUGGGUCGUAAACCUCUUUUCUCAGGGAAGAACACAAUGACGGUACCUGAGGAAUAAGCAUCGGCUAACUCCGUGCCAGCAGCCGCGGUAAUACGGAGGAUGCAAGCGUUAUCCGGAAUGAUUGGGCGUAAAGCGUCCGCAGGUGGCAAUGUAAGUCUGCUGUUAAAGAGUCUAGCUCAACUAGAUAAGAGCAGUGGAAACUACAUAGCUAGAGUACGUUCGGGGCAGAGGGAAUUCCUGGUGUAGCGGUGAAAUGCGUAGAGAUCAGGAAGAACACCAGUGGCGAAGGCGCUCUGCUAGGCCGUAACUGACACUGAGGGACGAAAGCUAGGGGAGCGAAUGGGAUUAGAUACCCCAGUAGUC
rnacentral:rRNA from 1 species